rnacentral:rRNA from 1 species
UACGUAGGUGGCAAGCGUUGUCCGGAAUUAUUGGGCGUAAAGAGCUCGUAGGCGGUUUUUCGCGUCUGCUGUGAAAACGCGAGGCUCAACCUCGCGCCUGCAGUGGGUACGGGCAGACUAGAGUGCGGUAGGGGAGAUUGGAAUUCCUGGUGUAGCGGUGGAAUGCGCAGAUAUCAGGAGGAACACCGAUGGCGAAGGCAGAUCUCUGGGCCGUAACUGACGCUGAGGAGCGAAAGCAUGGGGAGCGAACAGG